ACUCCAGUUUUAUGUCUAAAAUAUGACACCAUCGUGUCGUUCAGGGCCUCCUCGUGAACCCUCUGCUCUCCCUAGAGUUGUCUCGGGCUGGCGGAGCCAUGCGGCCACGUGGACUUCUACCCUAACGCUGGAGAAUAUCAACCAGGCUGCUCUGACCUCUCCAAGCAAGGGGAGACGCGGGGCUGCAGCCACAGCAGAGCUCACGACUACUGGAUAGAGAGCAUCAACGGCGAGACGCCCUUCCUGGCCCGCCCCUGCAGCGACUGGGACGCCUACGUGGCCGGCGAGUGUGACAGCUGCGGCCAGGGCUGCCUCGAGAUGGGCUUCCACGUCCAGAAAGACCUCACGGGGAACUACUACCUCAGGACCAACGACGCCCCGCCCUUCGCCAUGGGAUAGACCAGUGGCGUGCUAAGUGAGGUGUGCCCGCCCCCGGGGUACGCAGCAUUACUCAGAGGGGCACGUGGGAAGACUGUCGUGUGUUCCGAAAUAUACAAGAGCCGUUGCUGUGCGUGGGAUAUUGGAAAUCUCUCCAAUGGAAAUAUACAUCACAUGUUGAAUGAUUUAUUAUUUGUUGUACCUGGUAUCGUGUAGGAACACAAAACCGAAUUAGUAUAAUCAUAUAUUCGUUGUAUCGCUGCCAACGGAUUUGACGUACACUGUUACCAAUGAUAUCUUGCCUCAAAGGUUUAUGUAAUGACUGAUACAUGUUAGGAAUGUUGUUCGUGGAAUGUGUUGCUUUUUCGACUUUACGGAAUAAAUAAAGUUGAAAGUCAAUUCAUGCUAGUUAUUACAUGUACAAUCAGGUGUAUGCCACAUUAAAUAUUGGAAACACUUAUCCACAAGGAUUUGUAUUUUAGAAAAGUAAAUUACAAACUUGUAAAAAUGUAUCGCCAGCAACAUCACAGAGACCGCCAGACUGGAAAGAAAAUUGUGAUUUCUCCCAGCUGCAGCGCUAAUGUAUUCACAGAAAAAAAAGAAAACAUUAAUAGAUUCAGUGUUUAACUCCGGACAUUGUUAUCAUGGAGACAAACAUGUGCAGACUCCAAAUUAUCAUCAACGAGGCCCAUAGAGUUUAAGCAUAUUUUCCCACUCAGAA